rnacentral:rRNA from 1 species
ACAUGCAAGUCGAGGGGCAGCGGGAUUGAAGCUUGCUUCAAUUGCCGGCGACCGGCGCACGGGUGAGUAACGCGUAUCCAACCUUCCGUACACUCAGGGAUAGCCUUUCGAAAGAAAGAUUAAUACCUGAUGGUAUGAUGAGAUUGCAUGAUAGCAUCAUUAAAGAUUCAUCGGUGUACGAUGGGGAUGCGUUCCAUUAGGUAGUAGGCGGGGUAACGGCCCACCUAGCCUACGAUGGAUAGGGGCUCUGAGAGGAAGGUCCCCCACAUUGGAACUGAGACACGGUCCAAACUCCUACGGGAGGCAGCAGUGAGGAAUAUUGGUCAAUGGACGAGAGUCUGAACCAGCCAAGUAGCGUGAAGGAUGAAGGUCCUACGGAUUGUAAACUUCUUUUAUAAGGGAAUAAAACCUCCCACGUGUGGGAGCUUGUAUGUACCUUAUGAAUAAGCAUCGGCUAACUCCGUGCCAGCAGCCACGGUAAUACGGAGGAUGCGAGCGUUAUCCGGAUUUAUUGGGUUUAAAGGGAGCGCAGACGGGUCGUUAAGUCAGCUGUGAAAGUUUGGGGCUCAACCUUAAAAUUGCAGUUGAUACUGGCGUCCUUGAGUGCGGUUGAGGUGUGCGGAAUUCGUGGUGUAGCGGUGAAAUGCUUAGAUAUCACGAAGAACUCCGAUUGCGAAGGCAGCACACUAAGCCGUAACUGACGUUCAUGCUCGAAAGUGCGGGUAUCAAACAGGAUUAGAUACCCUGGUAGUCCACACGGUAAACGAUGGAUACUCGCUGUUGGCGAUAUACUGUCAGCGGCUUAGCGAAAGCGUUAAGUAUCCCACCUGGGGAGUACGCCGGCAACGGUGAAACU